rnacentral:sRNA from 1 species
UAUUCAUCCCAUGCGGGAAGGAUGAGAAGCUUCGACUAAGGUUCGAUUCGAGCGAAGCGAGAAAGCGUUGCCGCAGGCAACGACCCGAAGGGCGAGGCGCAACGCGCCGAGUAAUCCUUCCCCCAC